rnacentral:lncRNA from 1 species
UAUCCCUGAGAUAGUGCAGGCCCAUGCCCUGGCAUCACACUGUCUCCAGCAAGUUGAGGUUUGCAGGGACAAACAGGAGAGCUGGUGACCAGACCUGCUGUCCCAAGUGAGGACAGUGUGUCACCCACCCUCUGAGAGGCAGGCAGUGCCAGGACCCAGCCAUGGGAGCCCGUCCCCCUGACUCUGUAGAGAGCGGUCAUGGGGCCCUCCCUCCCCAUGUCAUCUCCUUGCCACUCCUGUAUCCCUGCCCGUCUUGAAGCAUCUUGAGUCAUUUCUCUGUGUCUCUCAUCUCCCGACGUCUUUGCUGUCAACUAUGAUGACAAGAAGUUAGCGGAGCUGCCAAGGCUUCCUGGAGCAGCCUUUGGACGCUGUAUCCUGGGCUCCGAGGUCCUGACAGGACUGAACCACAAAAAGAACCAGGAAAGGGCAGGCUCCAGGGACUGAGACCUUCUGACUGAACAGGCAUCCGUGACCUGGCCUCAUGACCUGGGACAUGCCAUCCUCAGGCCACAGACACCGGACUUUGGUCAAGUACCAGCCUCCAGGUGGGCUCCUAGUGCAAGCAGGCAGCAACCCCCAAGCUGUGACUGCAGUUCUCAGUUUGGAGUUUGGUCAAACCACCAUGGGGACAGAGUCUUGCGGUCGGGUCCAGCAGGAACUGCCGCCCCUCCUAGGGACAGCCUGUCUUUCCCACUCACCACCGCCGGUGCACGUGGGCUGCUGACCACCCGCCCAGUCCUCCUGUCCCUGGACCAGCCUCUCAGGUAGCAGGUCUUACCUUUGCCUCCAGGGCACUGAUGGAUGGCAGCUUAGUCUCACCGUAAGGCAACCCAGGCAGAGCCGAAGACCUGCGCUGGGCUGGGAGCUGUCCUCCUUCUCCCCUAGUGGUCCUAGGGAAGGACCAACCAUGUCUCUCCCCGCCACACCCCUGGUCUCAGCCCAGGAGACACACAGGGAAGGUAGGAAGAGAGUCUCCCUGUGGGCUGAUGCCUGUGAAGGGACAGGAACUGGGAGAAGAGGGGUGUGUGGCGGGCAGGGACCACUAGGGUCCUGUAGAGCAUGGGCUUGGACUACACAACGGGGCUGCCCCUCCUAGGCUGGAGGCAGUGCUCUCUGCAGGAACUGAGAAUGUCCAGGCCUGAGAAAGGACAUGUACGGCCCAGGGUGGGUGACUGGGUCCCAACAGCAGUCCCUGAGGGAGUGACCACAUUACCAGGCCAGGAUCCCGAGACCUGCCCAGUGCACUGAGUGUGCACCUGGGGCCUGUCCCACCUGAUGUCCCCAAGUGCCCCACAGGGUCUGAUCUCCCAGCCUCCAUCUACCUCCCCUGGGGGGUGGGGGCUUGCUUUGAGUUGUCCGCACCUUUCUAAAUGGAACUAAUGUACUUCUUACAUAUAUUGACUGAUGUCUCAUGUCUCCUUAAAAUGUAUAAAAGAAAGCUGUGGGCCGGGCAUGGUGGCUCACACCUGUAAUCCCAGCACUUUGGGAGGCCAAGGCAGGUGGAUCAUGAGGUCAGGUGUUCGAGACCAGCCUGGCCAACAUAGUGAAACCCCAUCUCUACUAAAAGUACAAAAAAUCGGCCAUGUGCGGUGGCUCACACAUGUAAUCGCAGCACUCUGGGAGGCCGAGGCAGGCGGAUCAUGAGGUCAGGAGAUCAAGACCAUCUUAGCUAACACAGUGAAACCCCAUCUCUACUAAAAAAUACAAAAAAUUAGCCUGGUGUGGUGGCGGGUGCUUGUAGUCCCAGCUACCCAGGAGGCUGAGGCAGGAGAAUGGCGUGAACCCGGGAGGUGGAGCUUGCAGUGAGCCGAGAUCGCACCACUGCACUCCAGCCUGGGCGACAGAGCAAGACUCCGUCUCAAAAAAAAAAAAAAUACAAAAAAUUAUUUGAUUAUCUGGGCGUGGUGGCAGGCGCCUGUAAUCCCAGCUUCUCAGGAGGCUGAGGCAGGAGUAUUACUUGGACCCGGGAGGCAGAGGUUGCAGUGAGCUGAGAUUGUACCGCUGUACUCCAGCCUAGAUGACGGUGAGAGACUCCGUCUCAAAAAAAAAAAAAAAAAA